rnacentral:rRNA from 1 species
AUUGAACGCUGGCGGCAGGCUUAACACAUGCAAGUCGAGCGGGGUGAUGGCGCUUGCACUAUCACUUAGCGGCGGACGGGUGAGUAAUGCUUAGGAAUCUGCCUAUUAGUGGGGGACAACAUCUCGAAAGGGAUGCUAAUACCGCAUACGUCCUACGGGAGAAAGCAGGGGAUCACUUGUGACCUUGCGCUGAUAGAUGAGCCUAAGUCGGAUUAGCUAGUUGGUGGGGUAAAGGCCUACCAAGGCGACGAUCUGUAGCGGGUCUGAGAGGAUGAUCCGCCAGACUGGGACUAAAACACGGCCCAGACUCCUACGGGAUGCAGCAGUGGGGAAUAUUGGACAAUAGGGGGAACCCUGAUCCAGCCAUGCCGCGUGUGUGAAGAAGGCCUUAUGGUUGUAAAGCACUUUAAGCGAGGAGGAGGCUCUUUUGGUUAAUACCCAAGAUGAGUGGACGUUACUCGCAGAAUAAGCACCGGCUAACUCUGUGCCAGCCGCCGCAGUAA